GUGUCGGUGGUGUACGGCAUAGCACCGCUGUCCGGAAAGCAGACGGUGCAGGUUCGAGUCCCGCCUGGCGCA
rnacentral:tRNA from 1 species